rnacentral:rRNA from 1 species
UAGGGAAUCUUCGGCAAUGGACGGAAGUCUGACCGAGCAACGCCGCGUGAGUGAAGAAGGUUUUCGGAUCGUAAAGCUCUGUUGUUAGAGAAGAACGUUGGUAGGAGUGGAAAAUCUACCAAGUGACGGUAACUAACCAGAAAGGGACGGCUAACUACGUGCCAGCAGCCGCGGUAAUACGUAGGUCCCGAGCGUUGUCCGGAUUUAUUGGGCGUAAAGCGAGCGCAGGCGGUUCUUUAAGUCUGAAGUUAAAGGCAGUGGCUUAACCAUUGUACGCUUUGGAAACUGGAGGACUUGAGUGCGGAAGGGGAGAGUGGAAUUCCAUGUGUAGCGGUGAAAUGCGUAGAUAUAUGGAGGAACACCGGUGGCGAAAGCGGCUCUCUGGUCUGUAACUGACGCUGAGGCUCGAAAGCGUGGGGAGCAAACAGGAUUAGAUACCCUGGUAGUCCACGCCGUAAACGAUGAGUGCUAGGUGUUAGGCCCUUUCCGGGGCUUAGUGCCGCAGCUAACGCAUUAAGCACUCCGCCUGGGGAGUACGACCGCAAGGUUG